GACGAACGCUGGCGGCGUGCCUAAUACAUGCAAGUCGAACGCUUCUUUCCUCCCGAGUGCUUGCACUCAAUUGGAAAGAGGAGUGGCGGACGGGUGAGUAACACGUGGGUAACCUACCCAUCAGAGGGGGAUAACACUUGGAAACAGGUGCUAAUACCGCAUAACAGUUUAUGCCGCAUGGCAUCAGAGUGAAAGGCGCUUUCGGGUGUCGCUGAUGGAUGGACCCGCGGUGCAUUAGCUAGUUGGUGAGGUAACGGCUCACCAAGGCCACGAUGCAUAGCCGACCUGAGAGGGUGAUCGGCCACACUGGGACUGAGACACGGCCCAGACUCCUACGGGAGGCAGCAGUAGGGAAUCUUCGGCAAUGGACGAAAGUCUGACCGAGCAACGCCGCGUGAGUGAAGAAGGUGUUCGGAUCGUAAAACUCUGUUGUUAGAGAAGAACAAGGACGUUAGUAACUGAACGUCCCCUGACGGUAUCUAACCAGAAAGCCACGGCUAACUACGUG
rnacentral:rRNA from 1 species